UCCAAACCGAGUUUCACAGCGAAUUUCAUUUUAAUUCAGUCAGAAACCACAGACACUCAGCUGGGAGGUAUAGAAGAAUCUGGAAACAGCCAUUAACAAGGGAAUAAAUCAAGCCCAAUAUCACUAAGAACUCCUGCAUUUCUUUGGAUUUUUUCUGAUUUUUCUUAUUUAUCAUGGUUUGUAAUGAAUUUUCUGAUCUGAGGUUUGGUUUUGAGGUUGCAAUAUCGAGUUCAGGACACCGGAGGAAUGGUCUUUUUCAAUCAGGGCACAGCUGUUGGCUUGCUCCAAUUCUGUCUUGCUUUCAAAGUUUUGGGUUCCUCAGCGGCCCUUUGUUGCUUGAGCGGCAAUUUCCUAAAUGUUUUCUGGGUCUGAGUUGGUUUUGCCUUCUUCCUUCCCAAAUUUUGUAAUCUGACGCAAUAGAAACAAAAGUUUGGGCAGAGUAGCCAUUAUGAAAUAAAAAACACAACAAAUAGGCGUUUGAAGCUUAGAAAUCUACAGGUAACACAACCAAGGUGAGUUUUUGUGUUUUGGAAAAUCAAAUGGAACACUUUGGCUGAGGUGACAGAUAUUAAUUGCCUCCAAACUGAGUUUCACUGGGAUUUUCAGGUUAAUUCAGUCAGAAUUCCACAGGCAGUCAGCUGGAGGGGUGGAUGAAUCCGGGAACAGCCCAUUUCCUUGCGACUGAAUCAAGCCCAAUGUCAUUAUGGAUUCUUGCGUUUCUUUGGCUUUUUUCUCAUUUUUCUUAUUUAUCAUGGUUUGUAAUGAAUUUUCUGAUGUCAGCUUUGGUUUUGAGGCUGUAAUAUGGCGUUCAGGGCACCAGAGGUAUGGUCUUUUUCA